rnacentral:rRNA from 1 species
CCCCUAGAUGUUCUGGGCCGCACGCGCGCUACACUGAACAGUUCAACAAGUCUUAACCUUGGCCGAUAGGUCUGGGUAAUCUUUGAACGCUGUUCGUGAUUGGGAUAGCCCUUUGCAAUUAUGGGUCUUCAACGAGGAAUUCCUAGUAAACGCAAGUCAUCAGCUUGCAUUGAUUACGUCCCUGCCCUUUGUACACACCGCCCGUCGCACCUACCGAUUGAAUGGUCCGGUGAAAUCUCGGGACGGCGGCUUGGUCGCUUGCGUCCGACUGCUGAAACUUGAUUAAACCAUAUCAUUUAGAGGAAGGUGAAGUCGUANCA